UACAGAGGCCUCGAGCGUUAGGCGGAAUCACUGGGCUUAAAGCGUGUGUAGGCGGAUCGGUAAGUACCUUGUGAAAUCCCACAGCUUAACUGUGGAACUGCUUGGUAUACUGCCAGUCUUGAGCCAGCUAGGGGCUACCGGAACAAAUGGUGGAGCGGUGAAAUGCGUAGAUAUCAUUUGGAACGCCAAUGGUGAAAACAGGUAGCUGGGGCUGUGCUGACGCUGAGACACGAAAGCCAGGGGAGCGAACGGG
rnacentral:rRNA from 1 species